UACGGGGGGGGCAAGCGUUGUUCGGAAUUACUGGGCGUAAAGGGCUCGUAGGUGGCCAACUAAGUCGGACGUGAAAUCCCUCGGCUUAACCGGGGAACUGCAUCCGAUACUGGAUGGCUUGAGUUCGGGAGAGGGAUGCGGAAUUCCAGGUGUAGCGGUGAAAUGCGUAGAUAUCUGGAGGAACACCGGUGGCGAAGGCGGCAUCCUGGACCGACACUGACGCUGAGGAGCGAAAGCCAGGGGAGCGAACGGG
rnacentral:rRNA from 1 species